CUCUUUAGCUUGGCAUUUGAAUCGGCUUUGCUGUUGCGAAGUAGAGUGGCGGCUUCGGCUGCCGAGGGUCGAUCCAUUUGGGAAAUGUUGUGUACUUCGGUAUGCAUCUCAAUUGGACCUGAUAUCAGGCAAGAUUACCCGCUGAACUUAAGCAUAUUAAUAAGCGGAGGAAAAGAAACUAACAAGGAUUCCCCUAGUAACGGCGAGUGAAGCGGGAAGAGCUCAAGCUUAAAAUCUCCGUGCAAGUUUUGCGCGGCGAAUUGUAGUCUAUAGAGGCGUGAUCAGUGUGGGCGCUUGGGGCAAGUUCCUUGGAAGAGGACAGCAUGGAGGGUGAUACUCCCGUUCAUCCCUGAGUUGCUCGAGCGUACGAUCCGUUUUCUUUGAGUCGCGUUGUUUGGGAAUGCAGCGCAAAGUAGGUGGUAAAUUCCAUCUAAAGCUAAAUAUUGGUGCGAGACCGAUAGC
rnacentral:rRNA from 1 species